GGCCAAUGUAGCUCAGUGGUAGAGCACUUCCUUGGUAAGGAAGAGGGCACGGGUUCAAUUCCCGCCGUUGGCUUUUU
rnacentral:tRNA from 1 species